rnacentral:rRNA from 1 species
UACGUAGGGGGCAAGCGUUGUCCGGAUUUACUGGGCGUAAAGAGCGUGUAGGCGGCCAAGCAGGUCCGUUGUGAAAACUGGAGGCUUAACCUCCAGACGUCGACGGAAACCGCGUGGCUAGAGUCCGGAAGAGGAGAGUGGAAUCCUGGUGUAGCGGUGAAAUGCGCAGAUAUCAGGAGGAACACCGGUGGCGAAGGCAGAUCUCUGGGCCGUAACUGACGCUGAGGAAGCGGAAAGCAUGGGGAGCGAACAGG